CUUCUUCAUUUUUUGUGUAAUUCAAUUAGCACAAUUUUUUUUUUUUAAUUUUUCAUAGUGUAAAUGUAAAAACAGAUAAUUAGCAUGAAAGAUUCGUACCGAUCUGCAUCAUACUACAUUUAUCUUUAAUUUCUUGUAAUACAAAU
rnacentral:sRNA from 1 species